AUUGUACUCCCUCCGUCCCAAAUUACUUGUCGCAGAAAUGGAUGUAUCUAGACGUAUUUUUAGUUCUAGACACAUCCAUUUCUACGACAAGUAAUUCAGAACGAAGGGAGUAUGAG
rnacentral:pre_miRNA from 1 species